AUGAAUCUUGAGAAUGAUAGAAAUUUGGAUCACUUAAAAGGCUUAAGAAUUGGAGAUUGGUCAUGUUACAAAGAGCAUCACACUGUUCACGAUUCAAGCAUUUAUAUGUUUAGUACUUUGGUUGUUAUUCUUUCUUUAUAUUUAUAUUAUAUAUGCAUGCAACUGGAUUGUAUUUAUUCUGAGCAAAACUAA